rnacentral:rRNA from 1 species
CACGGUACAGGUUAAGCUGACGAGUGGCGAACGGGUGAGUAAUACAUCGGAAGGUGCCCAGUAGUGGGGGAUAGCCCGGCGAAAGCCGGAUUAAUACCACAUACGACCUAAGGGUGAAAGGGGGGGAUCGCAAGACCUCUCGCUAUUGGAGCGGCCGAUGUCAGAUUAGCUAGUUGGUGGGGUAAAAGCUCACCAAGGCGACGAUCUGUAGCUGGUCUGAGAGGACGACCAGCCACACUGGGACUGAGACACGGCCCAGACUCCUACGGGAGGCAGCAGUGGGGAAUUUUGGACAAUGGGCGCAAGCCUGAUCCAGCCAUGCCGCGUGCGGGAAGAAGGCCUUCGGGUUGUAAACCGCUUUUGUUAGGGAAGAAAUCCUUUGGGUUAAUACCUCGGGGGGAUGACGGUACCUGAAGAAUAAGCACCGGCUAACUACGUGCCAGCAACCGCGGUAAUACGUAGGGUGCAAGCGUUAAUCGGAAUUACUGGGCGUAAAGCGUGCGCAGGCGGUUCUAUAAGACAGAUGUGAAAUCCCCGGGCUCAACCUGGGAACUGCAUUUAUGACUGUAGAGCUGGAGUGCGGCAGAAGGGGGAUGGAAUUCCGCGU